ACGGCGGCGGCUACACUGCAGUCGAGCGGACAGACGAAGAGCUUGCUCCUCUGACGUUAGCGGCGGACGGGUGAGUAACGUGUGGAUAACCUACCUAUAAGACUGGGAUAACUUCGGGAAACCGGAGCUAAUACCGGAUAAUAUAUUGAACCGCAUGGGUCGAUAUUGAAAGAUCUUUUUGCUGUCUCUUAUACAUGGAUCCGCGCCGCAUUAGCUAGUUGGGAGGGUAACGGCUUACCAAGGCCACGAUGCGUAACCGAACUGAAAGGGUGAUCGGCCACACUGGAACUGACACACUCCUAAGACUCCUACGGGAGGCAGCAAUUGGGAAUCUUCCGCAAUGGGGAUGAGCCUGACUGCCCGCGUCGCAUGAGUGACUUCGGUCUUCAAAUUGCUUUCUCUGGGAGGACGCGAAAGGUUAAUAUCCUUCCCUAUUGACUUUACCCUAAGAAGAUCACCGGCCAACUCCGUGCCAUUUCCGCCAUAAUACUGAUGCUUCAGGCGUUAA
rnacentral:misc_RNA from 1 species